GAAAUAAAAGAAGGCUUGCAGCUACCAGAAAGUCAUUAAGGCAUUAGUUUCUCUGAGAAGACAGAUCUGGAGAAAAUUCAAGAAAAUGAAUCUCUCUCUCUAUAUAUAUAAACAAGGUGGAGUGGAAGACAAUGCCUGCAUUUAUGGUUAACUAUAAGUGAUACACUAGGAAGAUGAUGGUAUUCAGACAGACACAAACAAUUUGAUUCAGACAGAUUGGAUACAAGAUUUCAAGCAGCAUAAGGCGAACAGGGACACAGCACCAAACCCUGACCUCUCUGCCAAGGGUACAAGAUGAGCUUUCCUGAGGUGGUACCAUGGGGGAGAUUUCCGGACAAUUUUGGAAGACUACACAGAGAACAACUUGGAUCCCAGUGCGAAUGAACAGACCUGAUUUACAAGAUUCUGAUACCUGCUGGUCAUCUCCUCUUCCCAGUCCAGGGAAGGAUUGGCUACUUGGGAAAUGGAAAUUCAAAUGUUCUUUGACAUUUCUGUGGACUUGUUUCUUGACAUGAUGACCCAUACUGAAUGU